rnacentral:misc_RNA from 1 species
GAAAUGCGAUAAGUAAUGUGAAUUGCAGAAUUCAGUGAAUCAUCGAAUCUUUGAACGCACAUUGCGCCCGCCAGCAUUCUGGCGGGCAUGCCUGUCCGAGCGUCAUUUCAACCAUCAAGCCCCGGCUUGUGUUGGAGCCCUGCGGCCGCCGCAGCCUCCUAAAAUUAGUGGCGGGCUCGCUACCACACCGAGUGCAGUAGUUUACUCUUCGCUCAGGGCGUGCAGCGGGUUCCAGCCGUGAAACCCCUACUUUUAAGGUUGACCUCGGAUCAGGUAGGAAUACCCGCUGAACUUAA